rnacentral:rRNA from 1 species
AUACGUAGGGUGCAAGCGUUAAUCGGAAUUACUGGGCGUAAAGCGUGCGCAGGCGGUUUUGUAAGACAGUGGUGAAAUCCCCGGGCUCAACCUGGGAACUGCCCAUGUGACUGCAAGGCUGGAGUGCGGCAGAGGGGGAUGGAAUUCCGCGUGUAGCAGUGAAAUGCGUAGAUAUGCGGAGGAACACCGAUGGCGAAGGCAAUCCCCUGGGCCUGCACUGACGCUCAUGCACGAAAGCGUGGGGAGCAAACAGGAUUAGAUACCCUGGUAGUCCACGCCCUAAACGAUGUCAACUGGUUGUUGGGGAUUUAUUUUCUCAGUAACGAAGCUAACGCGUGAAGUUGACCGCCUGGGGAGUACGGCCGCAAGGUUAAAACUCAAAUGAAUUGACGGGG